AGAUAUCAAAGGUAGUCUGGCGUAGCGAUACCGCGUGAGCGAAGAAGCCCUUUGGGGUGUAAAGCUCUGUCAGCUGGAACGAACACAAUGACGGUACCAGCAGAGGAAGCAUCGGCUAACUACGUGCCAGCAGCCGCGGUAAGACGUAGGAUGCAAGCGUUGUCCGGAUUUAUUGGGCGUAAAGAGUUCGUAGGCGGUUAGUUAAGUCUGGUGUUAAAUCCCGUGGCCCAACCACGGACCUGCAUUGGAUACUGGCUAACUUGAGUGCGGUAGAGGUAAGUGGAAUUCCCAGUGUAGCGGUGAAAUGCAUAGAUAUUGGGAAGAACACCGGUGGCGUAGGCGACUUACUGGGCCGUAACUGACGCUGAGGAACGAAAGCCAGGGGAGCGAAUGGGAUUAGAUACCCCAGUAGUAAAGAUAUAUAUGCAGCUCAGUCCAAAAGGGGGGGCAUAUACUCCUGGUGUUUUACGACCCGUCAAUUAAAGUGGGGGCUGC
rnacentral:rRNA from 1 species